AGAGAGUGCAAGCGUUAAUCGGAAUUACUGGGCGUAAAGCGCGCGUAGGUGGAUUCUUAAGUCAGAUGUGAAAGCCCUGGGCUUAACCUGGGAACUGCAUCCGAUACUGGGUAUCUAGAGUAUAGUAGAGGGAAGUGGAAUUUCCGGUGUAGCGGUGAAAUGCGUAGAUAUCGGAAGGAACACCAGUGGCGAAGGCGGCUUCCUGGACUAAUACUGACACUGAGGUGCGAAAGCGUGGGGGAGCAAACAGGAUUAGAGACCCUGGUAGUCCACGCCGUCAACGAUGAGAACUGGCUGUUGGGAGGGUCUUCCUCUUAGUAGCGAAGCUAACGCGUUAAGUUCUCCGCCUGGGAGUACGGCCGCAAGGCUA
rnacentral:rRNA from 1 species